rfam:Rhizophagus irregularis DAOM 181602 strain DAOM 197198 GLOINscaffold_1889_Cont1892, whole genome shotgun sequence.
GCCCGGUUAGUUCAGUCGUUAGAAUAUCACAUAUUAAUAUUAAAUAAAAUAAAAAAUAUUAAAUAUUAAGUCGUGAAGACGCGGGUUCAACUCCUGCACUGGGCU